CACAUGUGCUCUGCAGUGACAUAUUACCGUGUUGAUAGAUAUUGUGUGCGUUUAUUGUGUGCUUAUCGUACUUCACAUUCGUCGACUGGAUAUUUUGCGCGUUUCGGAACGUCCUCCCGCAUUGAUCAAGUGGGGGAUGAUGCAUCGUCGUUCGUCGCCACUCAGAACAGCCUCAUCGGACGCGCUGCUUUGUCUCCGCGCUCAAAAGUGCUUUCUUGCUUCGUUUAUCGAUUACCCACGUUAAUCGCGUGAUUCAAUAUCGAGUGUACCUCCAAAGACAAUCCACUUCCCAGUGUUGUGACAAGCGGCGACCGCGGUUGUACAGGAGCGGAAGCGUGAGCCUUUUGACGAGCGACUGUGAAGAAUGCAAAGCCAGUGCCAAACUUCGGAAUCGAUAGCACGGGCGGCGUGUUGGCACAGCGAGGAUGAGAACGAGAGACCCGAUAGACAGCGAUGACAGCUGUUCACGGCACCGACACAGAGGACAUAUUGCAGUGCAAGAUAGGAGCGGUCUUCCUGCAAGCCCAGACCAGCCAUAUUGAGUGGUAGGAAUCUCUUUUCAUCACUACAAUGGGACAGUUUUGGCACGUAGCACAUCUCGAGAUAUAGCAUAUACUGGCCCUUAGCUUAGGUGUGGGAAACCUAUCUCCUGCACUUUAGUGCAGUGCAUAUUAUUUAGUUUGUAUCCGUUGAACAUGGAACAUGAAAUAGUUUGUAUUAUUUAGU